UUUGCGUGGCCCACUUUGUCACUGAACAGGGCUGACCUGUGUGACUACUAGAACACUGCUGAAGUGAUUGUGUGUGACUGAACACUGAGGCUGGGUCAUAAAAGCACUGUAGCUUCUGCCUUGAUCUCUUGGAUUGCAGGCCCUGGGAAGGCAGCCACCAUGCUGUGAGGACGUUCAGGCAGCCCUGUGGGGAGGCCCAUGUGCUAAGGAACUGAGGACUCCCACCAGCAGCAGGCAGCGUCAACUUGCCAGCCAUGUGAGUGGGCUGCUUGGAAGUGGACCUUCCAGCCCCAGCCAUGCCUUUAGAAGACUGUAGCCCUGGCUGACAUCUGCCUGCAGUCCUAUGAGAGACCUCUAGACAGGACUGUCCAGCCAAGCUGCUUCUGAAUUCCUGACCACAGAGCCUGUGAGAGGUGAUAAAUAAUUACUGCUGUUUUAACCCAUGAAGCUUCGGGCUAAUUUGUUAUGCGCCACUAGAUAACAAAGACAGCUGGUUAUUGUGGUAGGCAGCUUCCAAGACGGCUGCCAACGAUCCCAGCCUCCCGGUCAUUCAUGCCAUCAUGUAAUGCCCUCUGCUUUAGUGUGGACUGGACAUGGUGACUUGCUUCUAAUGAAAGAAUAAGGCACAUCUGAUGGGGUGUCACUUGGAGAUUACGUUACAAAAGUCUCUGGCUUCCAUUAUGGGUGACACUUGCUCUCUUGCUGGUUCUGAGGGAAGCCAGCUGCCAUGUUGUGAGCUGUCCUAUGGAGGGGUCCACAUAGUCAAGAACCGAGAGAUGUCUCCAGCCAACAGCCAGUGAGGAACCGAGGCCACGAAUCCAACACCUUGUGAUAAAUGGGACCUUGGCAGCAGCCAUGUCGGUGAGCUGAAAGUUGAACCCUGAAAUGACUGCAUCCCCAGCAGACGCCUCGGUUCCAGCCCUGUGAGAGGCCCUGAACAAGAGGACUCAGACAAGCUGCCCCUGGGAUCCAAGUGCACAGAAACCAUGAGAUCUAGGAGGACUUGGGGAGGAUGCCGGCUCUUCAAAGACGAGGCGGUCUCAGCUGUGUAAUCACCACCACUUUGCUUGGGGCCCUCCCCGAGGAACAUACUCCGGGAUCCAUCACCCCCUUGCUCCGGAACUCCAGGGUUUCAAAAAAGCAGAGGGGAGACAAUUCGAUCCUAGGCCCAGCCAUUUCGGAGUCCACAGCUGGAAAGGAUCUGAGGCUUCCGCUGUUUACCUGAUUCCACUCUCUGGAGCCCCGCUCUGCCAGGAGACAGCACCCCCUUGUCUUUCUCCGUCGUGCCCACCCUCUCCUGUCCUGCGCACCCCUGGACCACCUCCCUCACCCCCAGCUGACUUCCUUCUCCAGCGCGGAUUCUCAGACCCCCCCCCCCGCCCACCGUCUCUGUGUCCCCGUGGGAGGUGGAUAGAAGUGGUGGGUGGGAUUAGGCUUCAGAAUUUGGGGCCCGUGUUAGCUGCAGUAAAGCCCUGUGUGCUGGGUGGCUUAAGACAACAGCAAUCCAGUCUCUUAGUUUCUUAAUUCUCCCUCUGCUUUUCAGAUCCAAGUUGUUUUCUUCCUGCUGUUGAAAAAGUAGAAAUAACUAGAAGUCUCUUGACUUGGCGGUUCAUGCUGGAGCCCAGUGAGAGAGUUGUGUUGAGUCCUAGAGGCUAGGAUUCAGCGGGGCUGUGCUCCCUCAAGACUCUGGGUGAAUUGCCUUUCUCCCCUUCGAAGCCCCAACCCACUACUCCCAACAUCCUCUGCUGUCUUUAGCUGAAGGUGACAUUUAAAGUGAGGACUUUGGCCAUUUGGAUGAAGCUCUUGGUGCUGUGCUUUAGAACAGACGAAAUGGCCUCCGCCCACACAGAAAUGAGCCAAUGCCCAGGAAAGGACACAGGGCGGCUUGUGAACUUCUGGAACACUCUGCUUCUGGCCGCAUCUGACUCAGCCAGUGACCUCGGAAACAGGCUCAGCCUCCCAGGAAUUCCGUCCUGCGUCUCCUCCAAAUACGCAUGCAUGCACCAGGCCCAGAGUCUGGGGGAUGCAGGAAGGGAGAGGCCCUCCCCACCUCAUGGGCCACCCAUCUUCUCACGGCAUUAACUCCGAAGACUGGUCCUGGCCACAUGAUGUGACGCAUUAAGCACUGCACUGCUCCCACAGCCUCCCAGACACGCGGGGAAAGGAGGUGCCCACUGCAACGUGGAGAGAGUCAGAGCAUGUCUGAUACCCGGCACAUUCCACCCCCUCCCCCAGCAGGUAUUCAACACCACUUGCCUUCACUGACAGCCUGGGGGCGCUGCGCCCUUGCUGCCUCUUGCUCUUAGGGGAAGUGGUUAAACUCCCCUCUCACUGGACCAAGGGCCAGGCCCCACCCCAGGAAAUAAGUUUUUCCCAUUAAAAGUACUCAUUUCACUUGAUGUAUGCAGACAGGGCUCCAGAAGCCCGGAGUAUGAGUGUGUGAGUGCAUUUGUGUGUGUGUGUGUGUGUGUGUGUCGGUGGAGAAUUUAAGCGCUGGAAACAGUGGCAAAUAAGGAGAUGCAAGCGAUGUGAAAAUAGUCAAGAUUUCUCAGUCGCCAGAAGGAGGGAGGGUGAAAUUGUAAAACCCCAUCAGAAGCUUUGACAACAGCCCGUCCACCUCCCGGUGGGUCACUCGUGCCUUCACUGCUCUUUGGGCCUAUCUUGCACGUCCCGCCUCCAAGUCUUGGCUCACGGAAGCUCACGGAGGCCAGGGAGCGCUCUCACCAUCGCAGUACGCGGGCACCCCCGCUGACCCGGGGCUGAGUGAGUGUGUCUCUGUCAACAGUGUUGUCUGUAUCAGAUCUGCCCCUCACCUGCCCUCGACCCAUAUACAUUCUGGAACAUUCUGGCUGGGAGAUUUAGCCAAACCCUGGAAUUACUCCUUGCACUUUGCAAGAGUGUUCCUGGCUGGCACUGGACACCAGGAAUUUGCAGAAAUGUAUCAUCACUUUUGCCAACUGCAAAAUCUUCUGGGUCAAAGGUCAAAUGUCCCUGAAGCAGGAAAGGCAGGAAGAAAAUUCAGCCAAAGUCUAGGCGCCUUUAAGAAAGGAGGCCUGGGCUUCCCUGGUGGCGCAGUGGUUGAGAGCCCGCCUGCUGAUGCAGGACACACGGGUUCGUGCCCUGGUCCGGGAAGAUC